UUUGGAGACUACAAGCUUGAUUGCAGCAGCUUCAGUGCUGGGCAUUGCUCCAGGGACAUGGAACUUCUCCACGGAUCCGUGUGUAGGGGGAUGGACAGGUGUAGGCUGCUGCAGGAACAACUCACGGGCUCUGUGCUGCGCAUUCCCGCAAAUCUAUCCAGCGACACCACCGCUGACACCGUGCGAGCGGACAGCAGACGCUCAAGUCUCGACUUUGAUCCUCCGGUCUGAUCUCUUCGGCAACCAGCUCCUCAACGGAACACUUCCGGAAGCUCUGUGCAACCUUACGUCUCUGAGGAUUCUGGACGUGGGCUUCCAGCGUCUGCGUGGACAAGUUCCAGGAUGCAUUGGCAGCAGAUUGAGCAGCCUGCAAAUCCUCCGUAUGGGUGAGAACAGAUUCAGUGGCAGCAUUCCCGAAGAGCUAGGCGAAUUGAGAAGUCUCCAGCAGCUUUUUUUGGAUACAACAAAUAUCUCGGGUCCCAUUCCUGCGUCUCUGGGAAGGCUGAGCAACCUCACCAGUCUCAGCCUCUGGAGCAAUGCGCUUGAAGGUGAUCUUCCCGAGGAGAUCGGCCAGCUGAGUAACUUAGUCGCGCUCUCGCUUCAGGGAAACAGGCUUACUGGACGUAUUCCUGACAGCUAUGGCAACCUUGCCAACUUGCGAAUCUUGAGGCUUUUCAACAAUGAGCUCUCUGGAGGUAUCAGCUCGUCGGUCUUCCAAGGCAUGACUUCUCUCACGUAUGUGAGCUUGAGACACAACAGGUUCAGCGGUCCUAUCCCGGAUUUUGGCGUCGGGUUCAGCUUGAGCACGGUUGACUUGGGAUUCAAUGAAUUCUCGGGGCCACUGCCGGGUUCUCUUGGAGGUCUUUCUUCCUUGACAAGCUUGUUCAUCGAUCACAACAGGCUCAAUGGCAGUAUUCCGGACAGCUUUGGUUCUUUACCUGCGUUGGCCCAACUGGAUAUCUCACACAACAUGCUCGGGGGGUCCUUACAGUCGCUAGGAGGGAACACUCAGCUCAUGCAGUUGGAUGUUUCCUUCAACUUUUUCAACAUCUCUAGCGCUCCAGCAUCCGUCCCGCAGCAGCCAAACCUCAACGCUUACUUCAACUGCGUCCCUUCCGGUUCUUCUGGCACUUGCUCCAGCUCGCCUCCCGGUGGAAGGCCUUUCUUCGCUGUCAAUGCUGGUGGCAAUGCUUUAAGCAGCACUACAGGCAGCAGGGUCCAGGUAGCAUUCGAUUCGGACGCAAAUUCAAACAAUCAGAGCGUGGGAUUUUUCUAUGGAUCAGGACCAGGUUUAUGGGCUUUAGAAGUUUCGGGCAGUGAAGGUGGUACACUUGCGUUCCAAGGCUUCAUCAAUAUGACCGGUGCUGGGGGUACGGAGGAGGGGCUCUACCGAAGCAUGCGUUGGUCUUCCUCUUACAUCGGAUAUCACGGUUAUUCUCUAAGACCAGGAAACUAUACAGUGAUGCUCUACUUUGCCGAGCUUGUGUUCACGGAGCCGGGAUACAGGAUCUUCGACGUUGUCCUCCAAGGAAGAGUUGUGUGGGAGAACCUGGACAUUGCUAGAGAAGCUGGAGCUCAAGCAGCGUACGUGAUGAGUCGUAACAUCACCAUCAACAACAGUGGCAGCGUUUCGGUCGAGCUGGUUUACAAGGGUCGAGAUAGAUUCUCAUUAAAUCUCGGUCCCUGGGCAGUGAGAAACCCCGGCCCGAUUGUCUCGGCAAUCUCAGUCGUUUCAGUCGACUACAGGGGCGAGGGAGGGAACUCGACGUCUUUGAGCUCGGGCCAGAUAGCCGGGAUAGCACUUGGAAGUGGAGCAGCCUUGCUCAUCCUCGUAGCGUUGCUAGUGUAUAUAUGCAAAGGCAAGCGUGCUGGGGUAGCAGCUUCGACUACAACGAAUGGUCCUACAAACCAGCAAGCCUCUCUCCUGGAUGCUGGGGGCAUUUUCACAUACCAGGAGCUCCAUGACGCUACAGGAGGCUUCAAUGACAAGCUCGGAGAAGGAGGAUUUGGAGCUGUGUACAAGGGGACACUCCCAAACGGGACUGUUAUCGCUGUGAAACAGCUCGUCAAGCACUCUCAACAGGUUGAGGAGGAUUUCAAGCGAGAAAUUUCCAUCAUCAGCAAAGUCCGCCACCGGAACUUGCUGGCAGUGAUUGGCUACUCUCUUGAGUCGGACGUCCCGAUGCUCGUCUGCGAGUUUAUUCCCAAUGGGAGCUUGGAUAAGUGGCUAUUUCGUCGGCGUGAGAGUGCUUUGAGCUGGGAGGCUAGAAGAGCGAUCGCGAUCGGAGUUUCUUGUGGGCUUGCCUACUUGCAUGACGAGUCCAACCUGAGGAUCAUACACUGCGAUGUGAAGCCCGCCAACAUCCUUCUCGACGAGGAUUUCAAUCCCCGGCUCGCAGACUUUGGGCUGGCAAGGUUGUACGACGAGAGGGAGUCUCAUGUCACGGCGACGAGAUUGAAAGGCACGGCAGGCUAUCUAGCACCAGGUAAGCUUGAGUUUCUCUUCUCUUUGGAUUGUGCUUGAUUUUUCUCUUUUGAUGUUCUCGUAGAAUACGCCAUGCAACUCCAGCUCUCGGACAAAGUUGACGUAUACAGCUUUGGGGUGGUGUUGCUGGAGCUCUUGAGCGGGAGGCGUGCAGUGGAGCUCUCGGCUCCCUCGGAACAGAUCGUUCUUGUGGACUGGGCUCACAAGGAGGCCGAGAUCCCAGCGAACUUGCUGGACAUCGUGGACAGGAAGCUACAGGGGGGCUUUGUGGAGCAGGAGGCCAGGGACAUGGCCAGCAUCGCCAUCCUUUGCACGCAACGCUCGCCGGCGCUGCGUCCAAAGAUGCAGGCAGUGUGGCUCAUGCUCACGGGCGCGGUCAAGGUUCCAGAGUUCUUGGAGAACUUGACGGCAGUCAUCCCUUCUUCUUCCGGAGGAUCGACGAGCCAGACCUUGAGUUCUGGGAACUUGUCGGAGACGUCAAUCGCGGCAUUUAGAUCUUUGCGAGUCUUUGGGAGGGUUGCGAGUCCGGAGAGCUUUUCUUCCUCGAAGGCCGUGACACAGUAGAGGCUACAAGCUAAAACUCCGUGCAUGUUUCAUGCAAGCUUUCAGUUGUGGCUAAGAGCACGAUGGGGAUUCCAGACAUUCCAGCGAUGCUGAAGAUCUUCUCCUUAGCCCGCGAUAGAAGUCCAUGGAUCAAGCAGGAAGUGUUAUUUCUCACGCCAGUUUCCAUGGGAAGCGAUUGAUUGGAUGGUACAAUACUCGCUAUCAGCUUGCGAUCAGAAGAAGGUUCCAAGCAUGAGCAAGCACAAGCUAUCAACUCGUCUCUCCUUGCCGAAAAUACGGUGUCAAUGCAAAAGGUAUGAACUCUUCCUGGCGUAGUUAUUCCUGGGGACCAUAUCUGGUGGACUUCUUUGCAGGCGUUCGCUAUGGACUCCGCCGACAGAAGUUGCUCGUCUCGGGAUUUCGAAAGGGACAAGGAUAUCAAUGAAAAGUUUCACUCGUUUUGCGCUCAGCAGCCGAGAACGUGGAAGUCAAGUCCGUCAGCCAGCCAGAGCUCUUCCAAUUUCUACUGGCACUGAGGAAAGGGACCGGCCAACAACGUAUAGGAUAAGCAGCUCUUGUGGGGUCUGAUUUGCGAGUCAAGAAACACACAGGUCAGUGAGUCCUAUUCUAUCACGUUAAUUGAUUGUGUCUUUCCAGUGUAAUUCGAGGACGCCAGCGAAGACCGUCACGCGGGCCCUUGCUGAUGUGUAUGGAAGACAAUGGCAGCGGACAAAAGUACCGUGUAAAGAUUGAAGCAGAGAUAAGCGCAAGAUCGGGAUCACCUUAGUAGCAGAAGAGAUGUUCUGCCAACAGCGAUGUGGAGAAGCGUAUCAUGGCUUUCGACGAUUCUGCCCAUCUGGUUUCUUCGCAUCACGGACGGGGCAAGUGUUUUGGAGACUACAAGCUUGAUUGCAGCAGCUUCAGUGCUGGGCAUUGCUCCAGGGACAUGGAACUUCUCCACGGAUCCGUGUGUAGGGGGAUGGACAGGUGUAGGCUGCUGCAGAAACACCUCAGACGCUCUAUGCUGCGCAUUCCCGCAAAUCUAUCCGCCGACACCACCGCUGACACCGUGCGAGCGGACAGCAGACGCUCAAGUCUCGACUUUGAUCCUCCGGUCUGAUCUCUUUGGCAACCAGCUGCUCAAUGGCACUCUUCCGGAAGCUCUGUGCAACCUUACGUCUCUGAGGAUUUUGGACCUGGGCUUGCAGCGUCUGAGUGGUCAAAUUCCAGGAUGCAUUGGCAGCAGAUUGAGCGGCCUGCAAAUCCUCAGGAUUGGCGACAACAGAUUCAACGGGAGCAUUCCGGAAGAGCUAGGCG
rnacentral:lncRNA from 1 species